rnacentral:rRNA from 1 species
GACGAACGCUGGCGGCGUGCUUAACACAUGCAAGUCGAACGAAGUGGCGAACGGGUGAGUAACGCGUAAUCAACCUGCCCUUCAGAGGGGGACAACAGUUGGACACGACUGCUAAUACCGCAUACGGAAGGUGGGGAUGGCGUCUGAUUAGCUAGUUGGGGGGGUAACGGCCCACCAAGGCGAUGAUCAGUAGCCGGUCUGGGAGGGUUAACGGCCCAAUUGGGACCGGGACACGGCCCCGACUCCUACGGGAGGCCGCAGUGGGGGAUCUUCCGCAAUGGACGAAAGUCUGGCGGGGCAACGCCGCGUGGGGGAUGACGGCCUUCGGGUUGUAAAGCUCUGUUAAUCGGGACGCGGUACCGGAAUAGAAAGCCACGGCUAACUACGUGCCAGCAGCCGCGGUAAUUC